rfam:Triticum aestivum genome assembly, contig: Triticum_aestivum_CS42_TGACv1_scaffold_158002_2DL
UUUAUACUCCCGCCGUCGCAAAAUUCGUGUCUUAAAUUUGUUUAGAUACGGAUGUAUCAAGUCACGUUUUAGUAUUAGAUACAUCCGUAUCUAGACAAAUCUAAGACAAGAAUUUUGGGACGGAGGGUGUAUAAU